rnacentral:rRNA from 1 species
AGAACGAACGCUGGCGGCGCGCUUAACACAUGCAAGUCGAACGCACCGGUUUCGGCCGGUGAGUGGCGGACGGGUGAGUAACGCGUGGGAACCUGCCCUUUGGUCUGGGAUAACCGCGGGAAACCGCGGCUAAGACCGGAUAUUCCCGUGAGGGGAAAGACAUGUCGCCGAAGGAUGGGCCCGCGUCGGAUUAGGUAGUUGGUGGGGUAACGGCUCACCAAGCCUGCGAUCCGUAGCUGGUCUGAGAGGAUGGCCAGCCACACUGGGACUGAGACACGGCCCAGACUCCUACGGGAGGCAGCAGUGGGGAAUCUUGGACAAUGGGCGAAAGCCUGAUCCAGCGACGCCGCGUGGGUGACGAAGGCCUUCGGGUUGUAAAGCCCUUUUGCCGGGGACGAUGAUGACGGUACCCGGAGAAGAAGCACCGGCUAACUCCGUGCCAGCAGCCGC